rnacentral:rRNA from 1 species
GCGUAAAGGGUAUGUAGGCUGUGGAAAAAAGAAAAAAAUUAAAUAUUUGGUAUCCAUCAUCUAUGUUUUUUUACUAUUUCACUUGAAUUUAGAUAGGCCGCAGGAAGUCAUUAUGGAACGGUAAUGUGUAGAUAUGAUGACGACCGACAGAGGUGAAGACAUGUUGCCAUUAAGUAUUGACGUAAGAUACGAAGGUAUGGGGAUAAAGAGGAUUAGAGACCUCGUAGUCCAUACUGUAACGCUGAACGUUCAAUGUAGGAGUUAAUUCAGAUGAUUUUAAUCAUUUUUCAUGGAGAUUCCUGGUGUUCAGCUAACGCGAUAAACGUUCCGCUGG